AUUUGGCCCUAUGUGCCCUACAAUUUAGUGGCUCAGCCCUAUGCUGCAGCAGCUUAUGACAAGAAAGCUCCUCCUGGUUAUGUUAGAAGGGUUGAGAACCCAACCACAGGAACAAUUUCAACAUUUGAGGACCCAGCUUAUGUGACCAUGUUCAGUGAUGAAAACACAACCAUUGGAACAAUUUCCACAUUUGAGGACCCUGCUUAUGUGACCAUGUUCAGUGAUGACAACCCUAAUGCUUGCUCCAUAAUGUAACAACAACAAUAACUGUACCUCAUAUUCGGUGAAAGUUAAAAGGGUUAGAGAAGUGGGAUAAGGGAAAUUUUUUGUAGGUGGGAGUGCAUGGUUGAUGGAUAGUCGUGAGUUUCGCCUAAGCUUUCCAAUAGUACUAGUACUAUUCUUGUAUUUUCU
rnacentral:lncRNA from 1 species